CUCCAGAUGUUGCUGAACUGCAACUCCCAUAAUUCUCAGCCUAUCUUUUUCAUUCAUGGGAGUUGUAGUUCAGCAACAUCUGGAG